CGGGUAAGUUCCGACCUGCACGAAUGGUGUAACGAUCUGGAAACUGUCUCAGCCGUGAGCUCGGUGAAAUUGUAAUAUCGGUGAAGAUGCCGAUUACUCGCAAUGGGACGAAAAGACCCUGUGAACCUUUACUAUAGCUUCGUAUUGGUUUUGAUUAAAAAAUGUGUAGGAUAGGUGGGAGACUUUGAAGUACUGUCGUAAGAUAGUAUGGAGUCAACCUUGAAAUACCACCCUUUUUUUAAUUGAAAUCUAACUUAAUUAUUUAUUGAGGACAUUGCGUGGUGGGUAGUUUGACUGGGGUGGUCGCCUCCAAAAAGGUAACGGAGGCUCCCAAAGGUACCCUCAACACGUUUGGUAAUCGUGUGUAGAGUGUAAUGGCAUAAGGGUGCUUGACUGUGAGACCUACAAGUCGAUCAGGUACGAAAGUAGGGCAUAGUGAUCCGGUGGUUCCGCAUGGAAGGGCCAUCGCUCAAAGAAUAAAAGGUACUCCCGGGGAUAACAGGCUAGUAUCCCCCAAGAGCUCAUAUCGACGGGGAGGUUUGGCACCUCGAUGUCGGCUC
rnacentral:rRNA from 1 species